rnacentral:rRNA from 1 species
CGCACAGUAAACGAUGAAUACUAGCUGUUUGCGAUACACUGCAAGUGGCACAGCGAAAGCGUUAAGUAUUCCACCUGGGGAGUACGCCGGCAACGGUGAAACUCAAAGGAAUUGACGGGGGCCCGCACAAGCGGAGGAACAUGUGGUUUAAUUCGAUGAUACGCGAGGAACCUUACCCGGGCUUGAAUUGCAUCUGAAUACAGCGGAAACGUUGUAGCUAGCAAUAGCAGAUGUGAAGGUGC